rnacentral:rRNA from 1 species
GUGUCAGCCGCCGUGGUAAUACGUAGGUGGCAAGCGUUGUCCGGAAUUAUUGGGCGUAAAGGGUGCGUAGGCGGUUUUUUAAGUGGGAUGUGAAAUACCUAGGCUUAACUUAGGAAUGGCAUUCCAAACUGGAAGACUAGAGUGCAGGAGAGGAAAGUGGAAUUCCCAGUGUAGCGGUGAAAUGCGUAGAGAUUGGGAGGAACACCAGUGGCGAAGGCGACUUUCUGGACUGUAACUGACGCUGAGGAGCGAAAGCGUGGGGAGCGAACAGGCUUAGAAACCCGAGUAGUCC